ACAUUCCAACGUCUAACCACUGGGCUUCAGCCCCAUCUUACCCUUUUGGGCUUUGAAUACUGCAGUUUUUUUCUUGGAAAACUAGCUCAAAAAACCAUGGAGUAUCUAAAUUGGCAACACAAAGUAAUGUUACAGUUCAACAGUUGCCUACGGCGAUCCUCCAGUGUUGCCAUUGAUACAUUUAUGAUCCCACUAGCUCGUCUGGUCUUCCCUAAAAGGUUAUAUUACAGUAAAUUUGGGAAAUAUCCUGCUACUUUGAAAUUA